AAGAAAAUGGGGGUAAUUCUUCAGAUUCUACCGUUAAACCAUUGUUGUUUUUUUUUCAUGAAGUCCAUUGUAUAUGGGAAUGUCAGUACUAACUACUCCAUUUUCAUCUGAAUGCUCAAGAGUCGGCGGAACACUUGAAUUAAUAGAUGAUGAAUCGCUGGAUUCUUAAUUGAUUGGCAAAAUAUCUGCCACAGUAACUGGAGGAAAGGUGAAUUUUACUUUGCUGCACCAAUUGCUGCCAAAGACUCCUUGCGGACCGCUGACUAAUAAAGACGACCAGAGGGGCCUUCCCAUUAUCUUUCGGAAACCGGUAGAAGUAAUGACAAGUACAUGAAUGGAUCAAAUGUCACAGAGACCUUCCUACAAACAGGACAAACUACUAUCGACUUAUAUUGGCCUUGGCACACGUCCAUAAUGACUGAAUCGUUGCGAGCCAGAUGACAAUGCCAAUAUGUUGUUUUCACUUCGCUUUGCUUUGUUUUCUUCCACAGAGUGCCAAACAUCCAAAUGCGCCUACCAGCCUUGUUUCAAUGGAAUAUUUCCCAUCAGGAACAAAGGAAUCACUAAUCAUCUUGAAGAAAUUAAGCCUCAUUAUGCUAUCAGCAAAUCCUGCAGAAGAAGCAUUGGUUUCGGUUUUCUCACGUUAAUGUUGCACUGCAUGAUGUUCCAUCACCCGGGGACUUUGAAAUUGCAGCGGCAGCACCAGAUGAUUCGGGGCUUGGGAAAGUGUGGCCUCCCAUAUCGUCAAUCUUUGAAAUGAUGGAGUUGGACAUUGUCUGGAACCUAGUUUGCAUCUGCUGUAGAAGAUUUUGCACAAAAACAGUCAUAUCAGCGGUGCUUUGUUUUGGACCUUCUGAAUCAUGCCCAUCCAUGAUUUGAACAACGCUUCAACUGGAACUUUUUCAACAAAUUUCAAAAUUGGAACUUGGUACCAAUGAUGCUCUAGGUUCAAUUCCUGUUUAUUUUCCAGUUGGGAUGUUCUUAGCAUGCUCUAGCAGCUUCAGAAUUUGCUGGAGAGUUUGAGUGAUGGAAGUGGUUACGCACACAUGGAAAGAGUUAGCAUGGAGGCUCUCACUUGCAACUGUUGGAGAAUUAAACAACCGCUUUUGAAACAGGGACCGAUGACGGAUGUACGUCGGUGUUUGAAUGGGUCUCACCUUUUCUUGUUAUUCUUUUUGUAAAAAAUGAUCAAUAGUAUUUGGAACUCGAAACUCAGCAUCUUUUCAUCUUCAACGGUCUGAAUCUUGUCUCUUCCAAACACAACUUUUCUAUUUCUGUAUAAAUAUAGCAGCUUCAUUAACAG